UCGAUGCCCUAGCUACGCGCCGUCGACCUCCUCCUCCUCCUCCUCUUUGUUUUUAACGCUCGCUCGGCCCCCUCUCCUCAUACUCUCUCGGUUGAGCCCCAUCCCUAGCUCCGAUCGGCGAUCGACGAUUCCGCUUCUCCGCCGCCGUCGACCUCGCCGCCGUCUGAGCCCCGAUCGGCGAUCGACGAUUCCGCUUCUCCGCCGCCGUCGACUUCCGCUUCUCCGCCGCCGUCGACGUCGCCGCCGUCUGAGGUUGGAAUGUCUGAAUAGUCUAUUGAAUCCUCUCAUUGAGCAAGUAGUCUCAAUUAAGAGAAAAGAAUUGCUCUAUCAUAAGGCUUUUACAAGGCGAUGUUAUGACCUCCAAACAGCUGAAGCAGAGGUGGAUCUGCUUGGUGAUGAGGUAGAUGUACUUCUUGGCCUAAUUCAGAAGAUAUACAUAUCACUGGACCAUUAUUCACCAGUUUUGCAACACUAUUUUGGGGUAACAAUAUGCCCCGAGGGAGACGAUUUAGAGAUGUAGAGUUCCAGCAUUCUCAGGUGGGAUCUACUUCUGAUCAGUCCCAGCAGUCAUGUGAGCACCAGCAGCAUGAGUCAGAAUCUCAGCGCGAGCCUCCUGCUGAUUGUCCGGAGGAUGAGCUCCGGAUCCAGGAUGGACAAGGGACGGUGAGGACGAGACGGGGACUCACUCAAGCAAAGGAUGU